UGUAAACCUGACCCUCUUCAAACUUGGUAACUCGCUCUUAUGAUUCCACUGCACAUUUUGUAAAAUUAAUUGUUAAAAAAAAAGCAAAAAAAAACAACCCAGUUUUUAUCCAAAACAUCUCACAGCAGUCAGACGGUCAGAGAUGCCCCAAAGCUCGAAUUCCAAAGCCUUCCCAAACCACCCCCUCUUAAAGCACAUUCACC